rnacentral:rRNA from 1 species
GAUCCCUUCGGGGUGACGAGUUAUUGACUGAGUGGCGGACGGGUGAGUAACGCGUGGGUAACCUACCUUGUACAGGGGGACAACAGUUGGAAACGACUGCUAAUACCGCAUAANCGCANAGCAUCGCAUGAUGCAGUGUGAAAAGUUUUUUCGGUACAAGAUGGACCCGCGUCUGAUUAGCUAGUUGGUGAGGUAACGGCCCACCAAGGCGACGAUCAGUAGCCGACCUGAGAGGGUGACCGGCCACAUUGGGACUGAGACACGGCCCAAACUCCUACGGGAGGCAGCAGUGGGGAAUAUUGCACAAUGGGCGCAAGCCUGAUGCAGCGACGCCGCGUGAGCGAAGAAGUAUUUCGGUAUGUAAAGCUCUAUCAGCAGGGAAGAUAAUGGCGGUACCUGACUAAGAAGCACCGGCUAAAUACGUGCCAGCAGCCGCGGUAAUACGUAUGGUGCAAGCGUUAUCCGGAUUUACUGGGUGUAAAGGGAGCGUAGGCGGUUUUACAAGUCUGAUGUGAAAGCCCGGGGCUCAACUCCGGUAUUGCAUUGGAAACUGUAGAACUAGAGUGUCGGAGGGGUAAGUGGAAUUCCUAGUGUAGCGGUGAAAUGCGUAGAUAUUAGGAGGAACACCAGUGGCGAAGCGGCUUACUGGACGAUUACUGACGCUGAGGCUCGAAAGCGUGGGGAGCAAACAGGAUUAGAUACCCUGGGUAGUCC